rnacentral:sRNA from 1 species
CUUUAAUACUUAGUUCCAUUACCCUCUUGUUAGGAUAUGGGAAUACUAAUGUUGA